rnacentral:rRNA from 1 species
UACGAAGGGGGCUAGCGUUGUUCGGAAUUACUGGGCGUAAAGCGAGCGUAGGUUGCUCGACAAGUCAGUGGUGAAAGCCCAGAGCUCAACUCUGGAACUGCCAUUGAAACUGUCGAGCUGGAAUCUCAGAGGGGGUAGCGGAAUUCCAAAUGUAGGGGUGAAAUCCGUAGAUAUUUGGAGGAACACCGGUGGCGAAGGCGGCACUCUGGGCCGGAACUGACGCUGAGGAGCGAAAAGCGUGGGGAGCGAACAGG